UUAACCUUAUCGGCGGAAACGUUACGAUAAUUUUAUGAGAUUGAAAUAGUGUUAACUGUGCAUUCAAUUAUUUAAUAACAAACAGUAAAUGCGAUAUGUUUAUCUCUUUAACCUGUUUGUUGCCCUGUGAUUUGUUUGUACUUUUCUGUCGGUGGUCCAUAAUCUUAUACAUCUUUGUCUAUGGUCCAGUUUGAAAAAUCCGGUAGUAGGUAAAACGUGCUUAAGUUUGGAUUGGUUAUAUAGGUUAUAUUUAAAACUGACCUAAACAGAAAAUGGGUAAACACAACAAUAAAUUGAGAGGAAGGGUCGAAGGUGAAACUGAAGACGAAUGUCAAAACGAAAUUUCUACCCAAGAAACAAGAUAUGACCGUUACAAGUUUUAAAGUGGAGGCGAUUUUACUGCCCAAGCUAUUAAAGUCAAAAAACAGACAUUCCUUUGAGUAAAAAAGUUUUAUUAUAAAAAUAAGACUUGGUUGUGACUAAAUCACUUAUGUAUUCCGGUAAAGAAUGUGAUAACAUUAGUUCAAGAUAGGUGAAAAUGUUCAGAGCUCCAGCUGUGGCAGUUAUCGACAAGCUUGUGGAAUAUAUGACUUCAACUAAUGAAAUUUGAAUCACAAGGAAGAUUGAGUGAAGGAUUUCCCAGAAGCAGUGAUUUCAUGCAUUUUUGAAAUUUAUGGAACUACAUAUCAAAUUGAAAGUUAGGGCAGGUUUUAUUAUAUUUUUUUAAAAGGAAAAUAAUUUAUAUCCCCUCAUCAAUUAACAAUUGCUUUUUAAUUAAUGUUAUAUCAAUUUAACGGGGAGAAAGUUAAAUAAUUAUAUUAAAAGACUUGAAAAUGAAAUGAAAUAAUAUCAAAUAAAUAUAUUAUUGUAUUUAACAAAACACCUC